rnacentral:misc_RNA from 1 species
GAUGAAGAACGUAGCGAAAUGCGAUAAGUAAUGUGAAUCGCAGAAUUCAGUGAAUCAUCGAAUCUUUGAACGCACAUUGCGCCCGCCAGUAUUCUGGCGGGCAUGCCUGUUCGAGCGUCAUUUCAACCAUCAAGCCCUGCUUGCGUUGGGGUCCUGCGGCUGCCCGCAGGCCCUGAAAACCAGUGGCGGGCUCGCUAGUCACACCGAGCGCAGUAAUACAUCUCGCUUUGGGCGUGCGGCGGGUUCUUGCCGUUAAACACCCCCUUUUUACCAAGGUUGACCUCGGAUCAGGUAGGAAUAUCCGCUGAACUUAAGCAUAUCAAUAAGCGGAGGA